rnacentral:rRNA from 1 species
CAGCACCUCAAGUGGUCAGGAUGAUCAUUGGGCCUAAAGCAUCCGUAGCCGGCGCUGUAAGUUUUCGGUUAAAUCCAUAUGCUCAACGUAUGGGCCGCCGGGAAUACUGCAAAGCUAGGGAGUGGGAGAGGUAGACGGUACUCGGUAGGAAGGGGUAAAAUCCUUUGAUCUAUUGAUGACCACCUGUGGCGAAGGCGGUCUACCAGAACACGUCCGACGGUGAGGGAUGAAAGCUGGGGGAGCAAACCGGAUUAGAUACCCGAGUAGUCC